rnacentral:rRNA from 1 species
CACGUAGGGUGCGAGCGUUUGUCCGGAAUUAUUGGGCGUAAAGAGCUCGUAGGCGGUCUGUCGCGUCUGCUGUGAAAACUCAGGGCUUAACCCUGAGCUUGCAGUGGGUACGGGCAGACUAGAGUGCGGUAGGGGAGACUGGAAUUCCUGGUGUAGCGGUGAAAUGCGCAGAUAUCAGGAGGAACACCGGUGGCGAAGGCGGGGUCUCUGGGCCGUAACUGACGCUGAGGAGCGAAAGCGUGGGGAGCGAACAGG